rnacentral:rRNA from 1 species
UAGGGAAUCUUCGGCAAUGGACGAAAGUCUGACCGAGCAACGCCGCGUGAGUGAAGAAGGUUUUCGGAUCGUAAAACUCUGUUGUUAGAGAAGAACAAGAACGUUAGUAACUGAACGUCCCCUGACGGUAUCUAACCAGAAAGCCACGGCUAACUACGUUCCAGCAGCCGCGGUAAUACGUAGGUGGCAAGCGUUGUCCGGAUUUAUUGGGCGUAAAGCGAGCGCAGGCGGUUUCUUAAGUCUGAUGUGAAAGCCCCCGGCUCAACCGGGGAGGGUCAUUGGAAACUGGGAGACUUGAGUGCAGAAGAGGAGAGUGGAAUUCCAUGUGUAGCGGUGAAAUGCGUAGAUAUAUGGAGGAACACCAGUGGCGAAGGCGGCUGUCUGGUCUGGAACUGACGCUGAGGCUCGAAAGCGAGGGGAGCAAACAGG